rnacentral:tRNA from 1 species
GCUCCCGUAGCUCAGUUGGAUAGAGCACCGGAUUUCUAAUCCGGCGGUCCCAGGUUCGAAUCCUGGCGGGAGCGCCA